UACGGGGGGGGCAAGCGUUGUUCGGAAUUACUGGGCGUAAAGGGCUCGUAGGUGGCCAACUAAGUCAGACGUGAAAUCCCUCGGCUUAACUGGGGAACUGCGUCUGAGACUGGAUGGCUCGAGUGCAGGAGAGGAAUGCGGAAUUCCAGGUGUAGCGGUGAAAUGCGUAGAUAUCUGGAGGAACACCGGUGGCGAAGGCGGCAUUCUGGACUGCAACUGACACUGAACGACGAAAGCCAGGGGAGCAAACGGG
rnacentral:rRNA from 1 species